rnacentral:rRNA from 1 species
UACGUAGGGUGCAAGCGUUGUCCGGAAUUAUUGGGCGUAAAGAGCUCGUAGGCGGUCUGUCGCGUCUGCUGUGAAAAUCAGGGCUCAACCCUGGACCUGCAGUGGGUACGGGCAGACUAGAGUGCGGUAGGGGAGAUCGGAAUUCCUGGUGUAGCGGUGAAAUGCGCAGAUAUCAGGAGGAACACCGGUGGCGAAGGCGGAUCUCUGGGCCGUAACUGACACUGAGGCGCGAAAGCCAGGGAGCAAACGGG